rnacentral:rRNA from 1 species
GGGGAAUUUUCCGCAAUGGGGGAAAGCCUGACGGAGCAACGCCGCGUGAGGGAGGAAGGUCUUUGGAUUGUAAACCUCUUUUCUCAAGGAAGAAGUUCUGACGGUACUUGAGGAAUCAGCCUCGGCUAACUCCGUGCCAGCAGCCGCGGUAAUACGGGGGAGGCAAGCGUUAUCCGGAAUUAUUGGGCGUAAAGCGUCCGCAGGUGGUCAGCCAAGUCUGCCGUCAAAUCAGGUUGCUUAACGACCUAAAGGCGGUGGAAACUGGCAGACUAGAGAGCAGUAGGGGUAGCAGGAAUUCCCAGUGUAGCGGUGAAAUGCGUAGAGAUUGGGAAGAACAUCGGUGGCGAAAGCGUGCUACUGGGCUGUAUCUGACACUCAGGGACGAAAGCUAGGGGAGCGAAAGGGAUUAGAUACCCCUGUAGUC